UGAAAGCUCAGGCUCAGGGAGCCGCUUUGCAAUGCUCCCAUUCUGAUCCUGACAGCUGCAACCGCACAAGUACCACCUAACUCUGCAAUUUGUAACUCAGAAACCACUACCAGAGCAUCCAUCUUACUCUCCUUUCCACGCGCAAGACGAAGAUCUUCGAGUGGGAGCCCGAUGCACAUGGCAGUUGGCACAUUCCUUUUCUUAUAAAUAACAAGAAAAGGUGUUCCUCUCAUUUCUGUUCCCAGGUAAGAUGCAGCAGUGGUUUGUGUGCCAAUGCUUGAUUGUUGAAGCAUCCAGUCUCAAGCUAUAGGUUUUGCAGUGUGUCUGUGAGCAUACAUUGCUUUCAAUCUUGACAUAUCUUGGCGCGCUGACCCUCCUCUUUCUUUGCUCUUGUCAUUACCUGCACAUGGUUGUGGCGUUAUGUGCAUGCGGCAUGCUCUUCGAGAAGAAUUCAACCGAUCUAACAGCAACCUACAACUAGCUACUGUGGAAUCAGAGUGCAAUGGACUGGACUGUGGAUAUGCCUGCAAGGUGGUGCCUUUUUCUUCACGCUUGCCUCCCUAAUGGGGAAAACAGAACUUCCGUUCAACUCCCUGCCUUGAUCAUUCUGCCAGGUACAGUAAGAGAUUGUUAAGGAAACAGUCAACAGAAUGUGAAAGAUUCUUCUGAAACCGUAUCAAAGCGCAAAAGAAAACUUACUGUUCUAUCAGCUUGCUGAAUAGCUGUAUCCAAAGGUUGUCAUAUUAUUCCUUGACACGUUUUUUAUGAGCAGACCUUCGAAACUCCUCCCGUCUAUGAACUUGCAUCAGUAGAUAGGCCAUCAAGUUUUCGGAAGCGUUUUUGAUGUGACUGCUCCUUCAACUACAUUAAGUAUUUAACUACAUUGGCAAAUUGCUCAUGGCAAUUGAACAGAACAACAACGGGUCGGGCAUCUAAAUCAAACGAGCAAUUUUUAUCCUUAAGACUUAAAAAAUAUC
rnacentral:lncRNA from 1 species